ACCUGAAAACACAGAAUAUUAACCCCCCCCCCCCCCCCCCCCUCCUCCUCCCCCUUUCCCCACCCGCUGCCAUUUUGGGGCAGUUUGGGUGCAUUUCUUAAUGUUACUCUGUUUUUGUUAUAAGCGAAGCUCCUGGUACAAGUUGCACUUCCUGAUUUUCCAAGCUCCUCUUUUUUUGGGGGGGGCCAAAAAGCAGCUUUUUCCACACAAUCUGUUCUUCCAAAAGCUGUUUCCUAUCAAUCACUGGCAUCUGCAAAAAGGGCGGAAAACACCCCAAAACACACCGCCCCCCCCCCAACAUACAUCCCCCCCCCCCUCACAGCACAAUCCUGACCUCCAUCAAGUCAAAAAAUACACAGAAACGCCCCCAAAAUUUCAACGAUUAUAAAAAAUAAUAAUAAUCAUCAUCUUACUUCUGAGAGUCUCAGUUACCCAAAUCUGUGGCUUUUAUCCUCAAAUCUCCCUGCAGAAAAGCUCCUGGAUGCUGAGAUUUUUCCCCUUUCUCGGCUCAAAUCUUUCAAUCCUGAGGGUCCAUAGUUUUUAUUUCCUCAUCUUUUUUUUUCUCAUCAUUAUUAUCUUAAAUUGCCUUUUUUUUGUUACUUAUUAAUUGCUCCUCCACUUUUGUCUCUUGGCGCUGCCACAACCUGGGAGGGGAAACAAACUCGAACACCCCCCCCAACAAAAAAAAACAACACAAAAGAAAACAGCACUUUUCCCUUUUUCCACCAUUUUUUAUCCUCCUUUCCCCACCUGCUCCCCCCAUCCCCCCCACCCCUAUCAACAACACGACAUUUUGGGCUUAAAAUCCCAAAGAUUCGGCACUUACUCUGAGAUGCACCACUGGUACCUACAACACUUGACAGCCGGAGCGUGAUGACGUUGGAUUUGGGGUUGAAUUCAUACUUUUCCACAUUCUUUUUUUUUUUUUUUCUUCCUUAUUUUCUAUCUUCUUUAUUUUUGGCCUAUUUUCUUCCCUAUUUUCUUCUUUUUCUUCCCUAUUUUCUAUCUUCUUUUUUGCCUAUUUUCUUCUCAUUUUUUCCCUGUUUUCUUCUUUUUUUUUUUGCCUAUUUUCUUCUUUUUUUCCCUAUUUUCUUCUUAUUUUCCCUAUUUCUUCUUGUAUUUUCCUCUUUACCAUCUCCUUCCUUUUUCCUAUGCUCAUUUUUUUCUAUUUUCUUGGAUUUUCCCCUAUUUUUUAAGUAUUCUUCUAUUUUCUCGUUUUCCUAACUCACUUUUUGUUUCCAUUUUCUUUCUUUUCCACUUCAUUUCUCUAUUGCCUUCUUUCAUUUCUCUUAUUUUCUACCUUCUCUCUUUUUUUUUCCUAUUUCCUCUUCUAUUUUUUCUGCUUUUCUUCUAUUUUCUCCUCUCUUCUAAUUUUCUUCUAUUUUUCCUAUUUUCUCUAUUCUUCUGUUUCUUCACUUUCUAUUCUUCUCUACUUCUCCUUUUCUCUUCUUUUUUUUCCUAUUUUUCCCCAAUUUUCUCUAUUUUUUCUGCUUCUCUUCCAUUUCUACUUCUCUUUUUUCUAUUAUUCCCUAUUUUUUCCUCUUCUUUUUUUCCAUUAAUCUCCAAUUUUCCUUUUUCCCCCCCAAUUAUUUCCUUCUCUCCUCUGUCUUUUUCUUUCCAUCGUUUCCUCCUCUCUUUCAUUGUUUUUUGGCCAUUAUUUCCUCUUUUGCUCCCGUUUCCAUUUUGCCCUCCGCCUUCCGUCCUACGGACCCCAAUACAUAUUUUGAACCAAAAAGUCCUUUUUUCUCCUCUAAAUCCUCCCUGCCUCGUCGCCGCCUCCGCUCUUCCCGGCUCUGAAAUGCCAAAUUCUCCUAAAACGCCCCCAAAACAGCUCCAACGGGGACCAAAACGCCUUUUCUCCUCCUCCUCUUGCCACGUUUUGGGUUAAGAAUGCAGCUUUUUUGGCUGUGUUG
rnacentral:lncRNA from 1 species